rnacentral:rRNA from 1 species
UACAGAGGUCUCGAGCGUUAGGCGGAAUCACUGGGCUUAAAGCGUGUGUAGGCGGAUCGUUAAGUACCUUGUGAAAUCCCACGGCUUAACCGUGGAAUUGCUGGGUAUACUGGCGGUCUUGAGCCACUUAGGGGCUACCGGAACAAAUGGUGGAGCGGUGAAAUGCGUAGAUAUCAUUUGGAACGCCAAUGGUGAAAACAGGUAGCUGGGAGUGUGCUGACGCUGAGACACGAAAGCCAGGGGAGCAAACGGG